rnacentral:lncRNA from 1 species
CCCUCCAAGGCCAAUAAGAGUCAUUAUUACAUCAUGUGGACACUGCCCUCCUAUUAGCACAUCCCUUUGCCACACUAGCGGCCCCCUGCACUCCAGCACUCACAGUUAGGAUGGCUGUCAUGCACUGUGCUCCUGGGCUCUCCAUCCUCUGACCACAACUCCCUAACCCUGGGUUCUACCUGCGGCCCCCACUCCACACCGUGGCCAUCUCGUGUGGGGUGAAGAGGAGAUGGUGGAAGGUAUGGACAUAGAGCCUCUUUCCUGAACUACAACUCCAAGCACAUGGGUGGACAAAGAAAUUUGGGCCCCUUCCAAGUACAUGCAUCAGUCAUUUGGACUCUGAGAUAUUGGAGUAUCUAGGCCAGUGCUAUCCAAUAGAAAUACAGAGAGCUGAAGGCUGCACAUGUUCCUGCUGGGGGAAGCGGAGCCUGAACAGCCGGUCCAAAAAGGAGAGGGGCCUUUGAGCACGAAGAGGAGGGAGGGCAUCUGCGUGGGUCACUGGAGGGGGCACCUGGAAGAGGUCUAGGGAAACAUUCCCCUCAGCUGAGGCCGGGGAUCCAGUGGGAUGAAUCAGAUUGGGACAUAGGAACCCCUAAACUUGCUCCCAGUCUACCACCUCCACCCUCUCAGAACCCGAUCAUGGGCCCAGCAAUGCUUCCCUCUUCUGCUUUAGUAAUAGAAAAAGAGCACCGGAUUAGGAGUCAGAGAAUAAAGGCAAAUCC